GGAGCAGUAAUAGGGCAUCUUUCUAUUGGCAGGCGACUUGGCUAUUUGUAUCUUUUGUGUUCUUGACUAUUGGCUAUGUCACUUGCCAAAGGAGAGUUGCCCUGUCACUGCUUC